GAUGAAGAACGCGGCGAAAUGCGAUAAGUAAUGUGAAUUGCAGAAUUCAGUGAAUCAUCGAAUCUUUGAACGCACAUUGCGCCCGCCAGCACUCUGGCGGGCAUGCCUGUCCGAGCGUCAUUUCAACCCUCGAGCACCGCUCGGCGUUGGGGGAGCGGCCCGCGCGCCGCCCCCCGAAAUGCAGUGGCGACCUCGCCGCGUUCCUCCCCUGCGCAGUAGCUCUCAAGAGAACCUCGCAUCGGCGGCGCGGCGGCGGUCACGCCGUGAAACACCCCCCUCAAGAGUUGACCUCGGAUCAGGUAGGGAUACCCGCUGAACUUAAGCAUAUCAAUAAGCGGAGGA
rnacentral:misc_RNA from 1 species